UUAACCCUGUACAGUACUCUGG
rnacentral:miRNA from 1 species